rnacentral:rRNA from 1 species
UGGGGAAUAUUGGACAAUGGGGGCAACCCUGAUCCAGCCAUGCCGCGUGAAUGAUGAAGGCCUUCGGGUUGUAAAGUUCUUUUGGCGGGGACGAUGAUGACUGUACCCGCAGAAUAAGCUCCGGCUAACUUCGUGCCAGCAGCCGCGGUAAUACGAAGGGAGCAAGCGUUGUUCGGAAUUACUGGGCGUAAAGGGCGCGUAGGCGGUUUAACAAGUCAGGCGUGAAAGCCCCGGGCUCAACCCGGGAAUAGCGUUUGAGACUGUUUUUCUAAGAGUUCGGAAGAGGUAAGUGGAAUUCCCAAUGUAGCAGUGAAAUGCGUAGAUAUUGGGAAGAACACCAGUGGCGAAGGCGGCUUACUGGUCCGACACUGACGCUGAGGUGCGAAAGCCAGGGGAGCAAACGGGAUUAGAUACCCCCGUAGUCCCUGAGCGGGCUGGCAAGGCGCAU